rnacentral:rRNA from 1 species
GGGGAAUUUUCCGCAAUGGGCGAAAGCCUGACGGAGCAAUACCGCGUGAGGGAGGAAGGCUCUUGGGUUGUAAACCUCUUUUCUCAGGGAAGAAAAAAAUGACGGUACCUGAGGAAUAAGCAUCGGCUAACUCCGUGCCAGCAGCCGCGGUAAUACGGAGGAUGCAAGCGUUAUCCGGAAUGAUUGGGCGUAAAGCGUCCGCAGGUGGCUAUGUAAGUCUGCUGUUAAAGAGUGAGGCUCAACCUCAGAAGAGCAGUGGAAACUACAUGGCUAGAGUGCGUUCGGGGCAGAGGGAAUUCCUGGUGUAGCGGUGAAAUGCGUAGAGAUCAGGAAGAACACCGGUGGCGAAAGCGCUCUGCUAGGCCGCAACUGACACUGAGGGACGAAAGCUAGGGGAGCGAA